ensembl:ncRNA F31C3.13 ncRNA
GCAGGCUAGAGUCUCGCUCGUUAUCGGAAUAAACCAGACAAAUCACUCCACCAACUAAGAACGGCCAUGCACCACCAACCACCAAAUCGAGAAAGAGCUUUCAAUCUGUCAGUCCUAAUGGUGUCCGGACCGGGUGAGUUUUCCCGUGUU